AAGAUGAAGUAUAUACCACCCGA
rnacentral:piRNA from 1 species